ACUGCGCGGACUCUUCAACCAGGUGUCGACCGGCGAGGAAUUGGUGCGCGAAAGAGCGAUCAAGUUUCUGGCCACCAGCGUGCGCCACCUGUCCGAUGACGUCCUCACGCCGGAAGUCGAAAACACGAUCGUCGAGGCCGGCAAGAAGGUGUUGGAGGACGUGACGGGCGAUGAGUUUCUCCUGCUCAUGACACUCUUCCGCAACCUGAAGGUGAUGCAGACGCUGCUGGGACGCAAGCAACUGCUAGACAUCGUCACCGAACAAGCCGACCUCGACAAAGCAUUCGAGGCGGAGGAUGUGGAAUGUGUUGACCGACUGAUCCAGUGCGUUAAGCAGGCCAUGCCUCUCUUCUCCGUGAGUAUACUACGCGCUCGCGUGGG